CAGGAUAUUGUCCUGUGUGGUUAGGAAAGGCCUCUUUGAGAAGCUGGCAUUUAAGCUUCCAGGUGUCAACCUAGAAGAUAAGGAACCCGCCGCGGGGAAAAGAGAAGGAAGAGGAUUCCAGAGGAUGGAACAGCAGACGUGGAGGCCUCCAGGCAGAAGAGAUUCUGGCAUGUUCUAGGAACCAAGAGACCCAUGUGUCUGACACAUUCUGACACGCACUCCUGCCAUGAUGCACUGCCCUUGCCAGAGACCCAAAGAAUUAGGUCAGCGCAGUCUUGGACCAGAACCUCCAGAACCAAGAGCCAGCAUCAACCUUUCCUGUUGAUGGUUCAUUGUCUCAGAGAGAGAAGAUGGUUCCAGUUUUUGUAGCCACAGAGCAUGAAGAGAACUUUUGUAAGCCAGUUUUUCUUCCUUUUUGCUGUCCUCAUCUUCUCUCUAAGCAAAAGUGGAAACCAGUGAUAGAUCCUGGCUUUCCCUGGGCGCCCUUGCCUGCCCCUCCUUUUGGAAGAGCCUCAGCUUCGUGUCCUGGCAUGCAGGAGAAACUGGUUCUACACACCCAAGGGGAACAUGACAGCUUUUCACAGCAAGUUGCUCAGCUCAUAAACAGCAAGAAGAAGCGUUCACACACAUCCAGACCUGCCUCUCUCAAAAUGCCUGUGCCGCCAGCAUGGCAGGAGAAUCUUCAGGAAACAUUAGCCACACUUUACAUAACUUUCUGUAAAGUGGCUUAGUAAUGUUUACAGCCUAAACAGCUCGCAGGUGGCAACCGUGCCUCACGAAUGCCAACAAGGGAAGGGCCAGCUCACCUGCACAGCCCUUUCUUCCUCCUGAGUGGCCCUGGGAGGCAGGAAGAAGGAGCGGGGUGAACUUUCCUAAAGAAUGAAGUGUCCAGAAACCUGGCACAGGGCCUGUAAUUUGGUGCCUAGAGGAAAGAAAGACAACUGCUUUUCCUGGAACUUGCUCUCAAUUUCACACCCCUUUUUGCUCUAAAUUUUGCACCCCAGUCUGU